CCCCGUCGUUCCGAGGGCACCGACGGAUGCGCCUCGUCGUCCUCUACAUCAAGGUCCGAGGAAUCGCUCUGGGAAGCUUCCAAUCGAGCGCUAGUUCGCCGAUUCUUCUCCAACUCCGGCGAGAAAAAUCAUCAAUUCCGGCCACUCCGGCCAUCCUCCGGUGACCUUGACCACACCACCAUCCUCCUGGAGCUCGACGCCGGCGACUCUCCGGUGAUCCCCUGGACUCCGCACCGCCUCCAUCACCUUCCCCGCGUCGAGCCGCACCCCCGACGCCAUCUCGCCCUUCUUGGUUCGCCCGGAAUCAGCAGAUCGGUGUUUGUUCUGUGAGUUCCGCCAUGGCUUCCAGUUCUGAGCUCCGCCUCCCGUGGUUCAAGUCGAGACGGGCCCUUUCCUUGACACGAUCAGACCAACAGUCCAGUGAUCCAGAUCUGCCAAUGGGCCUCGGCCCAGAUCCUCUCCCGAUGCAUCCGUCGCCCGCGCGCAAUAGCAUGCCUUCUGUCGCCAGCAGCAUGCCAGGUUUCGGCCCAGAAUCAAGCAGGUCCGGCCCAGUUCGCCCCCAGCCUUCCCUCUCUUCUUUGUUUUUCAGAAAAUGUUUAAAUCUUGUAAAAUUCAUAUCUUCCAAAAUAUAACUCGAAAUAAAAUGUGUUCU